CCUACGGGUGGCAGCAGUGGGGAAUUUUCCGCAAUGGGCGAAAGCCUGACGGAGCAAUACCGCGUGAGGGAAGAAGGCUCUUGGGUUGUAAACCUCUUUUCUCAGGGAAGAAGAAAUGACGGUACCUGAGGAAUAAGCAUCGGCUAACUCCGUGCCAGCAGCCGCGGUAAUACGGAGGAUGCAAGCGUUAUCCGGAAUGAUUGGGCGUAAAGGGUCCGCAGGUGGCAUUGAAAGUCUGCUGUUAAAGAGUUUGGCUCAACCAAAUAAGAGCAGUGGAAACUACAAAGCUAGAGUUUGGUCGGGGCAGAGGGAAUUCCUGGUGUAGCGGUGAAAUGCGUAGAUAUCAGGAAGAACACCAGUGGCGAAGGCGCUCUGCUAGGCCGAGACUGACACUGAGGGACGAAAGCUAGGGGAGCGAAUGGGAUUAGAUACCCUUGUAGUC
rnacentral:rRNA from 1 species